rnacentral:rRNA from 1 species
UGUAGCCUACGGGAGGCAGCAGUGGGGAAUAUUGGGCAAUGGGCGCAAGCCUGACCCAGCAACGCCGCGUGAAGGAAGAAGGCUUUCGGGUUGUAAACUUCUUUUAAGAGGGAAGAGCAGAAGACGGUACCUCUUGAAUAAGCCACGGCUAACUACGUGCCAGCAGCCGCGGUAAUACGUAGGGGGAAAGCGUUGUCCGGAUUUACUGGGUGUAAAGGGCGUGUAGCCGGGCUGACAAGUCAGAUGUGAAAUUCCGGGGCUCAACCCCGGACCUGCAUUUGAAACUGUUGGUCUUGCGCAUGGGG